AGCGAACGCUGGCGGCAGGCUUAACACAUGCACGUCGAGCGGGCGUAGCAAUACGUCAGCGGCAGACGGGUGAGUAACGCGUGGGAACGUACCCUUUGGUUCGGAACAACACAGGGAAACUUGUGCUAAUACAGGAUAAGCCCUCACGGGGAAAGAUUUAUCGCCGAAAGCUCGGGCCGCGUCUGAGUAGCUAGGUGGUAGGGUAAUGGCCUACCAAGGCGACGAUCAGUAGCUGGGCGGAGAGGGUGAUCCGCCACAUGGGGACUGAGACACGGCCCAAACUCCUACGGGAGGCAGCAGUGGGGAAUAUUGGACAAUGGGGGCAACCCUGAUCCAGCCAUGCCGCGUGAGUGAUGAAGGCCCUAGGGUUGUAAAGCUCUUUUGUGCGGGAAGAUAAUGACGGUACCGCAAGAAUGAGCCCCGGCUAACUUCGUGCCAGCAGCCGCCGUAA
rnacentral:rRNA from 1 species